GGCCGGUGAGUAGGAUGUAAAGUGAACACGUAAAAAAUUAAAAUUAAAAAAAAAAUUAAAAAGGGAGAAAAUUGCAGGUAAGCAUUCUUGAUAUUGGGCUUACAUAAGCAAAUGAAAGUUAGUCUGAUGUUUUUAAGACUGAAGCUCCAUUGCUAGAUAAAGAUGUAGGUAAACGGGAAAAAUCUCACAGCAAAAGCCAAAAAUCCCUUAUUUCUAUUUGCUGGGGGGGGGGGGAGGCUGGGAGAGGACAGCAUAAUAACAUGCAAAUUCUUGGAGAUACAGAGACAGACUACAAAGUAGAAUUUUGUAGUUUUGCUACUAGAUGUAGAAAACAUAAAUAGCAACAAAAAUGUUAAUUAGAUACAUAGUCUCACUGAUGCUAUAUUUUAUACUUGAAAAUACUUAUGACUCAGAUUGGUGAAAUAAUUUGCCCAGAGGCUACAACUAGUUUACAUUGUAAUUGAAAGUUGAAACAGAACCAAAUAAAUACUAGUAUAUAAGAAAUACAAUACCAGGUUUCUAGUAAGUAAGCUAUUUGUUGUGACCUUCUCUGAGUGGUCAGGCUGCUUUUCAAUGUCCUAAACAUUGAGGGUAAUUUGUAUAUUGGGUUAGGUUAAGCAGAUGGCUCCUAUAUUCCCAUCUGUUUCAUACCAAACACAAAAACAGCUUUUAGGUUUUUCAUUCUUAUCAGUAUUACUAUCUCAAAGGACUCUGUCGUUUCUAGCUUUUUGAAGGGAUUUUACCUCUUACACAAAGUGCACAAUUUUAAAGUUUUUCUUUAUGUUAUAGAUAAGUCUAAGAGUGUCUCAUUAAGUGAAUGGAACAACAAAAUGCUAGAACCUAUGAAUUUUUUGGCAGGCUUUCAGAAAUGUGCUUACAGUACUUUCCUACCAAAGGUUAUUUGUAAGCUUCAAUCAAAGGAUUGGUGCUGUCAGACAAUCAAACUUACAUGCAACAUCCUUUACCUUUUGUGUGGCUGGCUCUCUGCAGGGCUCAUCCACAUAGCUUACUCCAAGAUCUCCCUGUUCCUACCACUUUAGAUCAGUGUCUAUCUUUUCUAAAACAUUAUCAGAUUGCUUUGUUCCCCACUAUAAUGUUUUUAUUGAUUAUUUGACAAUUUCAAAUCAUGUACCCCAACGACAGUCACUUCCCAGUACUCCCCCCACCCUUAGGUCCUCCCCACAACUUCCAGCAGCCAGCCCCUUAAAGAAAACUAAGGCCUUCACUACUUCUGUCAGACGCCCUCAAUUGUGGAGAGGUACACUUCUGCAUCCUUAUCACAAUUUUAACAGUUAUCUUCAAUGGUUUCCUGUCUAGGCUGAUUUUAUGGUUGUUCUUGUUGUUCUUUGUUUGGGGAUUUGGUUGUGGUUAGGGAUUACCACAGAAGUCUUCUCUAUUCCUCUCUUUCGACUGAGAACCUGCAGUCAUAGGUACUACUGCAGAAGUACCUUCCUUGCCCUUUAUAGUCACCAGGAUUGUGGGUGUCCCAUGGUUUUUGGUGACAGCAUGGACCACAGGGACAUCUAUAGGGUCUCCAAAAUCACAUCAACAUAUAAUGUCACAUCUGGUGACAUUAUAGACCACAAAAGAGGCCACAGACACCCUCAUAGUCCUUGGAGGCAGCACAGGGCAAGGACAUCAACAUGGUCUCUGGAGCAACACAGGUCAUAGCCACCAAUAUGGUCCAAUGUAGCAGCCUGGCCUGAAAACAUCAACAUGGCUUCAGGUGGCAGCACAGACCAUGGACAUCCCCAUAGCCUAUAGUGGUAGCAUGGGCCAUGAACAUCAACAGAGACCCUGACUGCAGUAAGACCACAGAUCCACCCAUUAGCCUCAACAGCAUCACAGCCCAUGGACACUAAUAUAGGCUUCUGUAAUAAAUAGCACAGACUACAGAAGUCCACCUAGCCUCCAGUGGUAGCAAGGGCCUUGGAUAUCUUCAUGACCUCCAGUGGCAGUCCAGACCACAGACAUCCACAUGAAUCUUGAGCUUCAACACAGCCUGGAGCAGUGGACCAUAAACACCAAGAUAGCCCCUAGGGGCAACACAGUCAGUAAAUGGCUUUCAAUCCAGAGAAUGAACCAUUCUUCAUCUCAGAUAUCCUAUCAUUGCUCAGGACCACUACAGUCAAGAUGCUGGGCAGUGUAUUUGGGGCCAGAGUCUGCUCAAGCUCCAGGCUGCUGCAUACUACCCUCUAGGCCCUACUCCACAAGGACAUGUUUCAUCCCCAGCCACCAGCCACCCAGCCUUCUCUUGUACCUGUUAUCACCAUAGUGUCUCUGUAUUUACACAUCUCACAGUGGACUCACUGCUCUGUUCUGUCAUCCUUCCCAUCUCUCUAUCACAUAUACAUUCAUCAAAGUGUCACUGGAGACUGCAGUGUGUCACUUAAUAUAUGUUUUUGCCCAGACAGCUUUACAUGGAAAUAUUUGUUGUAAUGAGUCUGUCAUAGGUUUUCAUUUCUGUGAAGGAAUAACAUUACCAAGGUAAUUCUUUUUUUGUUUGUUUGUUUUUGUUUUUGUUUUUUCGAGACAGGGUUUCUCUGUAUAGCCCUGGCUGUCCUGGAACUCACUUUGUAGACCAGGCUGGCCUCAAACCUCAAACUCUGAAAUCAGCCUGCCUCUGCCUCCCUAGUGCUGGGAUUAAAGGCGUGUGGCACCACGCCCGGCUGGUAAUUCUUAUAAAUGAACAACAUUUAAUGGAUGUGACAUACAGUUUCAGAGGUUCAGUCCAUUAUCAUCAUAGUAGAAAGCAUGGCAGCAUCCAGGCAGACAUGGUGCUGGAGGAGCUGAGAAUUCUACAUCUUGAUCCAAAGGCAGCAGCAGGAGACUCUUCUGCAGGCAGGAAGCUCUCUUUCAUACUGGGUAGAGCCUGAGAAAAGCCCACCCACACAGUGACACACUUCCUCCAGUAAGGCCACACCUCUCUUUAUAGUGCCAUUUCCAUGGGCCAAGCAUAUUCAAACCACAGUGUGGUGAUCUGGUUCAAAGUUUCUGAUUUCUGAAGUACCAUAAAAACUGGUAUGGAGAUUUGUCUCAGAUACCCUGUUAUUACCUGGAGUCAGGGUGAAGUUGCAGCUAGGCAGGGCAUCACACCUGUUAACCUUCAAUAUCUGCCGACCCACUGCUCAUCAGGCACAACUAUUGAGCUUGUAGGCUGUAGCCAGGGCAAGCAGCACAGGCUGCAGCAGUGGCUCCAUGCUGUGGGCUGUGCUAGUGGGCCUAGUACAAGCCCUUGUUAGUACUGACCUGUGUGUGUAGGAGCUGCCGGCCAUCACACAUCUCCUUGUCAUUGGUGCUCACACCCCUAAGGCUCAUCAGGAAUGACCUUUGUGCUUGCAGCCUGUUAGCCUAGAUGAGGCAGUGAACAGUAAGGACUCAUCCAUUGUUCUCUGCCAUGGUUGGCUUUUUUCAGCUUUCUUUCCAGUUUCAUGAGUCCACUUUUUAAUAGCAUCUACUCAAAGACUUGCCUUUUCUCCAUUGUAGGGUGUUCCAGAGCUACUACUGUGAGCUCUGCAGACUCGGUUUUCUACUGUUACUUCACCCUUCAGAACCUCCAUGCGUCUCAGACUCCACAGAGCAUUGCAGCAGGUGCCACCAUCUUUGUUUAUACCCCCAGACUAGGCUUUUUCAGAUUGGUUCUUAUUUUGAGGUAUUUAGAAAGAAGUAAAAGUAAACUAAAACAUAACGAACAAUGCCAAGUCAGAAUGUUACUUUAAUAUUACUGUAUCAGUAAUGUUCAAAUAAAGGUUGAUGUGUGGAGUGUCUAUACUACAACCUGCUUACCUCAGAAGUAUUGCAUCUCACUACAUUUUUCUCUUUAUAGUGAAGUCUCUACUAGGCUAACUAAAAGUUCCCAUUGAAUAUGCUGUGUUCAACUCAUUGGCACCAUUGCGUUUCAGGUUUGAGCAUUCCUCAUCCAAAAUCUGAAAUCCAAAAUGCUCCAAAAUGUAAAACUUUUUGAGUGCUGACAUGAUGGCAUAAUUCAUACGAUUCACUGUCUGCUGACUUUGUGUCAUGUAAAUUAGGAAUAGUCUGUAAAAUUACCUUCUGGUUAUGGGUAUAAAGUAUAUGUGAAACAUAAGAGAAUUUUAUCUUUAGAUUUGGGUUCCAUUAUGUAUGUGCACAUAGCUCAGAACUGGACAAAAUAAAUGGAUGUGUAGUAGC
rnacentral:lncRNA from 1 species